GAACGAUGAUCCCAGCUUGCUGGGGGAUUAGUGGCGAACGGGUGAGUAACACGUGAGUAACCUUGCCCUUGACUCUGGGAUAAGCCUGGGAAACUGGGUCUAAUACCGGAUACGACCAUCUGGCGCAUGUCAUGGUGGUGGAAAGCUUUUGUGGUUUUGGAUGGACUCGCGGCCUAUCAGCUUGUUGGUGGGGUAAUGGCCUACCAAGGCGACGACGGGUAGCCGGCCUGAGAGGGUGACCGGCCACACUGGGACUGAGACACGGCCCAGACUCCUACGGGAGGCAGCAGUGGGGAAUAUUGCACAAUGGGCGCAAGCCUGAUGCAGCGACGCCGCGUGAGGGAUGACGGCCUUCGGGUUGUAAACCUCUUUCAGUAGGGAAGAAGCGUAAGUGACGGUACCUGCAGAAGAAGCGCCGGCUAACUACGUGCCAGCAGCCGCGGUAAUACGUAGGGCGCAAGCGUUAUCCGGAAUUAUUGGGCGUAAAGAGCUCGUAGGCGGUUUGUCGCGUCUGCUGUGAAAGACCGGGGCUCAACUCCGGUUCUGCAGUGGGUACGGGCAGACUAGAGUGCAGUAGGGGAGACUGGAAUUCCUGGUGUAGCGGUGAAAUGCGCAGAUAUCAGGAGGAACACCGAUGGCGAAGGCAGGUCUCUGGGGCUGUAACUGACGCUGAGGAGCGAAAGCAUGGGGAGCGAACAGGAUUAGAUACCCUGGUAGUCCAUGCCGUAAACGUUGGGCACUAGGUGUGGGGGACAUUCCACGUUUUCCGCGCCGUAGCUAACGCAUUAAGUGCCCCGCCUGGGGAGUACGGCCGCAAGGCUAAAACUCAAAGGAAUUGACGGGGGCCCGCACAAGCGGCGGAGCAUGCGGAUUAAUUCGAUGCAACGCGAAGAACCUUACCAAGGCUUGACAUGAACCGGAAAGACCUGGAAACAGGUGCCCCGCUUGCGGUCGGUUUACAGGUGGUGCAUGGUUGUCGUCAGCUCGUGUCGUGAGAUGUUGGGUUAAGUCCCGCAACGAGAAUCGAAUUCCMCGCGGKCUCWWCCCAAWGGCCMUGUCCAAYUAU
rnacentral:rRNA from 1 species